UACGAAGGGGGCUAGCGUUGCUCGGAAUCACUGGGCGUAAAGGGUGCGUAGGCGGGUCUUUAAGUCAGGGGGGAAAUCCUGGAGCUCAACUCCAGAACUGCCUUUGAUACUGAAGAUCUUGAGUCCGGGAGAGGUGAGUGGAACUGCGAGUGUAGAGGUGAAAUUCGUAGAUAUUCGCAAGAACACCAGUGGCGAAGGCGGCUCACUGGCCCGGUACUGACGCUGGGGCACGAAAGCGUGGGGAGCAAACAGG
rnacentral:rRNA from 1 species